GUCUAUGGCCAUACCACCCUGAACGCGCCCGAUCUCGUCUGAUCUCAGAACCUAAGCAGGGUGGGGCCUGGUUAGUACUUGGAUGGGAGAAUACUGUUUAGAUCUGCAUC
ensembl:rRNA Gm23806 predicted gene, 23806